UAUUGGUCAAUGGACGCAAGUCUGAACCAGCCAUGCCGCGUGCAGGAUGACGGCUCUAUGAUUUGUAAACUGCUUUUGUACGAGGGUAAUAUCAGAUACGUGUAUCUGCAUGAAAGUAUCGUACGAAUAAGGAUCGGCUAACUCCGUGCCAGCAGCCGCGGUAAUACGGAGGAUCCAAGCGUUAUCCGGAUUUAUUGGGUUUAAAGGGUGCGUAGGCGGUUUUAUAAGUUAGAGGUGAAAAUUCGGGGCUCAACUCCGGACGUGCCUCUAAUACUGUAUGACUAGAAAAUAGAUGCGGUAGGCGGAAUGUAUGGUGUAGCGGUGAAAUGCGUAGAGAUCAUACAGAACACCGAUUGCGAAGGCAGCUUACCAAACUAUGUCUGACGUUGAGGCACGAAAGCGUGGGGAGCAAACAGG
rnacentral:rRNA from 1 species